rnacentral:rRNA from 1 species
UACGUAGGGUGCAAGCGUUGUUCGGAUUUACUGGGCGUAAAGGGCGCGUAGGCGGCGUGACAAGUCACUUGUGAAAUCUCCGGGCUUAACCCGGAGCGGCCAAGUGAUACUGUCGUGCUAGAGUGCGGAAGGGGCUACUGGAAUUCUCGGUGUAGCGGUGAAAUGCGUAGAUAUCGAGAGGAACACCUGCGGCGAAGGCGGGUAGCUGGGCCGACACUGACGCUGAGGAGCGAAAGCAUGGGGAGCGAACAGG